UUAAGGAAAAGUGCCUUCCAUAGGUUGUCCAAGGGGUACCCGUGCAGGGGGUGUUUGGAAAGACUUGUCCAGGGGGUAUAUUUUAAGGAAAAGUGCCUUCCAUAGGUUGUCCAAGGGGUACCCGUCCAGGGGGGGUGUUUGGAAACACUUGUCCAGGGGGUAUAUUUUAAGGAAAAGUGCCUUCCAUAGGUUGUCCAAGGGGUACCCGUCCAGGGGGGUGUUAGAAAACACUUGUCCAGGGGGUAUAUUUUAAGGAAAAGUGCCUUCCAUAGGUUGUCCAAGGGGUACCCGUCCAGGUGGGUGUUUGGAAAGACUUGUCCAGGGGGUAUAUUUUAAGGAAAGUGCGUGUUUGGAAACACUUGUCCAGGGGGUAUAUUUUAAGGAAAAGUGCCUUCCAUAGGUUGUCCAAGGGGUACCCGUCCAGGGGGGUGUUUG